UACGUAGGGUGCAAGCGUUAAUCGGAAUUACUGGGCGUAAAGCGUGCGCAGGCGGUUAUGUAAGACAGAUGUGAAAUGCCCGGGCUUAACCUGGGAACUGCAUUUGUGACUGCAUGGCUAGAGUUGGCAGAGGGGGUAGAAUUCCACGUGUAGCAGUGAAAUGCGUAGAUAUGUGGAGGAACACCGAUGGCGAAGGCAGCCCCUGGGUCAAGACUGACGCUCAUGCACGAAAGGCGUGGGAGCAAACAGG
rnacentral:rRNA from 1 species